rnacentral:rRNA from 1 species
UAGGGAAUCUUCCGCAAUGGGCGAAAGCCUGACGGAGCAACGCCGCGCGAGUGAUGAAGGUCUUCGGAUCGUAAAACUCUGUUAUUAGGGAAGAACAAAUGUGUAAGUAACUAUGCACGUCUUGACGGUACCUAAUCAGAAAGCCACGGCUAACUACGUGCCAGCAGCCGCGGUAAUACGUAGGUGGCAAGCGUUAUCCGGAAUUAUUGGGCGUAAAGCGCGCGUAGGCGGUUUUUUAAGUCUGAUGUGAAAGCCCACGGCUCAACCGUGGAGGGUCAUUGGAAACUGGAAAACUUGAGUGCAGAAGAGGAAAGUGGAAUUCCAUGUAUAGCGGUGAAGUGCGCAGAGCUAUGGAGGAACACCAGUGGCGAAGGCGACUUUCUGGUCUGUAACUGGCGCUGAUGUGCGAAAGCGUGGGGAUCAAACAGG